ACUCGCGGCCUAUCAGCUAGAUGGUGAGGUAAUGGCUCACCAUGGCGACGACGGGUAGCCGGCCUGAGAGGGUGACCGGCCACACUGGGACUGAGACACGGCCCAGACUCCUACGGGAGGCAGCAGUGGGGAAUAUUGCACAAUGGGCGCAAGCCUGAUGCAGCAACGCCGCGUGAGGGAUGACGGCCUUCGGGUUGUAAACCUCUUUUAGUAGGGAAGAAGCGAAAGUGACGGUACCUGCAGAAAAAGCACCGGCUAACUACGUGCCAGCAGCCGCGGUAAUACGUAGGGUGCAAGCGUUGUCCGGAAUUAUUGGGCGUAAAGAGCUCGUAGGCGGCUUGUCGCGUCUGCUGUGAAAUCCCGGGGCUCAACCCCGGGCCUGCAGUGGGUACGGGCAAGCUAGAGUGCGGUAGGGGAGAUUGGAAUUCCUGGUGUAGCGGUGGAAUGCGCAGAUAUCAGGAGGAACACCGAUGGCGAAGGCAGAUCUCUGGGCCGCUACUGACGCUGAGGAGCGAAAGCAUGGGGAGCGAACAGGAUUAGAUACCCUGGUAGUCCAUGCCGUAAACGUUGGGAACUAGAUGUAGGGCCUGUUCCACGGGUUCUGUGUCGUAGCUAACGCAUUAAGUUCCCCGCCUGGGGAGUACGGCCGCAAGGCUAAAACUCAAAGGAAUUGACGGGGGCCCGCACAAGCGGCGGAGCAUGCGGAUUAAUUCGAUGCAACGCGAAGAACCUUACCAAGGCUUGACAUAGCCGAGAACGCUGUAGAGAUACAGAACUCUUUGGACACUCGGUUACACGGUGGUGCAUGGUUGUCGUCAGCUCGUGUCGUGAGAUGUUCGGUUAAGUCCGGCAACGAGCGCAACCCUCGUCCUAUGUUGCCAGCACGUUAUGGUGGGAACUCAUGGGAUACUGCCGUGGUCAACACGGAGGAAGGUGGGGAUGACGUCAAAUCAUCAUGCCCCUUAUGUCUUGGGCUUCACGCAUGCUACAAUGGCCGAUACAAAGGGCUGCGAUACCGCGAGGUGGAGCGAAUCCCAAAAAGUCGGUCUCAGUUCGGAUUGGGGUCUGCAACUCGACCCCAUGAAGUCGGAGUCGCUAGUAAUCGCAGAUCAGCAACGCUGCGGUGAAUACGUUCCCGGGCCUUGUA
rnacentral:rRNA from 1 species